GCCUACGGGGGGCAGCAGUGGGGAAUAUUGCACAAUGGGGGAAACCCUGAUGCAGCGACGCCGCGUGAGUGAAGAAGUAUUUCGGUAUGUAAAGCUCUAUCAGCAGGGAAGAUAAUGACGGUACCUGACUAAGAAGCCCCGGCUAACUACGUGCCAGCAGCCGCGGUAAUACGUAGGGGGCAAGCGUUAUCCGGAAUCACUGGGUGUAAAGGGAGCGUAGACGGCUGUGCAAGCCUGAAGUGAAAGGCGGGGGCCCAACCCCUGGACUGCGUUGGGAACUGUACGGCUGGAGGGAAGGAGGGGGA
rnacentral:rRNA from 1 species